rnacentral:sRNA from 2 species
CAAACAGGCCGGUCCUGUCAGCCAACGAACUCCAUGGCUGGGAAGUGGGCAGUCCACUGGCCCCGCCUCUCUAGCCUGCUUCGGGCAUUGGCGCCAGGUACCUAAAUUUUAAACUGGGCCCACUCAGGGGCAUCUUGGACAAGGCAGCUCGUAUUCGUCCUGGCUGGCGUUGGGACGGGAUCAGAGGGCGAAGAGAUCUGGCGAGUAAUAAUCUUGAGUCGUUUUCUUUUUUAUGAUCUGGUUGUUCGCCGGUUCGCUGUUCUUGUUGCAGGGACCCCUUCGGCCCUGAUUAUGGAUUGUUGAAUGCACC